UACGGGGAGGCAAGCGUUGUUCGGAAUUACUGGGCGUAAAGGGUUCGUAGGUGGCCAACUCAGUCGGACGUGAAAUCCCUCGGCUCAACCGAGGAACUGCGUCCGAUACUGGCAGGCUGGAAUCCGGGAGAGGGAUGUGGAAUUCCAGGUGUAGCGGUGAAAUGCGUAGAUAUCUGGAGGAACACCGGUGGCGAAGGCGGCAUCCUGGACCGGUAUUGACGCUGAGGCGGCGGAAAGCUAGG
rnacentral:rRNA from 1 species